AAGUUCGGCGAGUUUUGCGUCUUUGCGUGGUUUGUGGGCCCUUUGCUUUUUCACGCCUUGAUUCUCUUAAGAAAUAAAGGCUUUAUUUUUUUUUGCAAGGAGGGAAAGGCCGCUGAUUUCAGAAUCAGCGGGAACCCCAGCCCGUCCUCUGUAACUGACGGCGUGGCGCAUCGGCUGGAACGACCGACGGGAGCGCUCCUCUGAGAGCGUCCACUCGGAUGUGGCGGGAUGCAGGCGACCUGGGGAUUACAGAAGUGAAUCAAGAGCUGGACUUCCCUGGUGGCGCAGUGGUUAAGAAUCCGCCCGCCAAUGCAGGGGACAUGGAUUCGAGCCCUGGUCCGGGAAGAUCCGACAUGCCCCAGAGCGAUUAAGCCCGUGCACUACAACUACUGAGGCUGCGCUCUAGAGCCCGUGAGCCACAAGGAGAAGCAUGCACACUGCAACGGAGAGUAGCCCCCGCUUGCCGCAGCUAGAGAAAGCCUGCACGCAGCAAAGAAGACCCAAAGCAGCCAAAAAUAAAUAAAUUUAUUU